GUCUACAGGUGUCUCGGUUUUGCGCAGGACAGAACUUUAUUUAGCCAAAUGGAAACACUGGAUAAAAGUAGCCUACCAAAGUCUUCUAAAGAGGACAAGGAUCCGCAAAACAAAAAGAGAAUUUCAGAAUAUUUCUGUCACCUGCUGUUGCUGAUCUACUGGCCAAACACUUCAAAAGCUGGAUUAUUGCAACAAGAAGAUGGUAUUUGCAAAUUGAAGAUUACUUAAACAAGGUAUAUUUUACCUUUUACAACAGGUUAUAUUCAACACAUUUGGAUGAAAAUAUAUGGAAAUAAAAGCUGUAAUUCUGGUUUUCCUUUUGAUUUCUAACUUAAAUGUCAGUUUUUGAGGGGCAAAACUUUACUUUUGGAAGGAAAGUAGCCUACCAAAGUGUUCAGAGGAAAAGGAACCAUAAAAUAAAAGAAGUGAGUGAAGGACAGGGCUCACAGCAUCAGCUCCUCCUCAUACUCAUCCUGUUUAAGGCUUUGGCUUGUGUUUAUAUAGGAGCUCUGUGCCGCAAUUUCCACUCAAAACUGUGAUUAAAAAACGUAUAAACUUUAUAUGAUUGUGUUAUACU